GCUUACAGACACACUACCCUGAGCAUGCCUGAUCUCAUCUAAUAUUAAAAGCUAAGCUAGGUUGGGCCUAUUUAGUACUUGGGAAUAAUACUUGCCCCAGGUGCUAUAAUCC
rnacentral:rRNA from 1 species